rnacentral:rRNA from 1 species
UACGUAGGGGGCAAGCGUUGUCCGGAAUCAUUGGGCGUAAAGCGCGUGUAGGCGGCCCGGUAAGUCCGCUGUGAAAGUCGGGGGCUCAACCCUCGAAUGCCGGUGGAUACUGUCGGGCUAGAGUGCGGAAGAGGCGAGUGGAAUUCCUGGUGUAGCGGUGGAAUGCGCAGAUAUCAGGAGGAACACCGAUGGCGAAGGCAGCUCGCUGGGACGGUACUGACGCUGGAGGCGCGAAAGCGUGGGGAGCGAACAGG